GAGAUAAUGCCAUUUUGGUAGGCCUGACAUCUGGGUCUCUCUUUCGCCUCGUGGAACAAAAUAUAUAUAUAUAUAUAUAUUCCCUUCUGUGUUUCUUUCUCUACAUUUGGGACGAGGCAAGCGUUUUGUUGAAGUCGGAUAACUUCAUCGGCCCGCGCAAGCCACUACGAGGACGUUGUUUUGUAGUAGUUACAGGGACAGUACGCAGUUUUCGGUUAGCGGCAGUUGAACGGUCGUCGUCCAGUGUUGACGACACAGCUCCCCCGUCCCAACGAACAAAGGAAACCGUGAGGUCGGUGCACGUCCGUUAACGCAGGAGGAGCGGGGUACUGUUUAUUAAAUUAUACAAAAGUUCAUUCCACCCGUACGCUAUUUUUUUGUUAUGGUAUUUCGCCUUGAGACGUCUUUUCCUCAAGUAUAUCCAAACAAUUAGCCUGACUCAUUCAGUCUUGUUAGCAACAUCGGCUAAGGGCAGCUAACGGCUAACUUUUAGCAUUGUUUUGAUCCAAGAAAGGAGUUUUAUUUUUUAUUUAUUUAUUUUUUGAGCGGGGCAAAAUGGCCGAAGUUUAUAUUCGAGUGGCGGAGGAGGAAAACGAGGAGCCCAUGGAGAUCCCAUCCGAGGACGACGGCACGGUUCUCCUUUCAACAGUGGCAGCUCAGUUUCCAGGGGCGUGUGGCCUACGGUUCAGGAGCCCCGUGUCCCAGUGCAUGCGAGGAGUGCGUCUGGUGGAGGGGAUCCUACACGCUCCAGAAAACGGAUGGGGAAAUGUCGUGUACGUGGUCAACUAUCCAAAAGACAACAAAAGGAAAAUGGAGGAAAUCGAUGCAUCAUCAGCUGUGAAAAUGAAGAGAGGGGACAUGAAGACAUCUGAUCUGAUUGUACUGGGUCUUCCUUGGAAAACAACUGAGCAGGACCUUAAAGACUACUUUAGCACAUUUGGAGAAGUCAUCAUGGUUCAGGUAAAACGAGAUGCCAAGACCGGAAACUCUAAAGGAUUUGGCUUUGUGAGGUUCACAGAGUAUGAGGCUCAAGAAAAGGUGAUCUCCCAGCGCCAUAUGAUUGACGGCAGAUGGUGUGACUGCAAGCUCCCUAACUCGAAGGUGAAUCUGCAAGGUCCAGAUGAGCCACUGAGGAGCCGGAAAGUGUUUGUAGGUCGUUGCACAGAGGACAUGACCACAGAUGACCUCCGGCAAUUCUUUAUGCAGUAUGGAGAAGUCACAGAUGUCUUCAUCCCCAAGCCAUUCCGUGCUUUUGCCUUUGUAACAUUUGCAGAUGAUCAGGUUGCCCAGUCUCUCUGUGGAGAGGACCUAAUAAUCAAAGGUGUCAGUGUUCACAUCUCAAAUGCUGAGCCCAAACAUGGAAAUAGGCAGUUUGAUCGUACAACACGAUUUGGGAAUGGUUUUGGAGCUCAAGCAUUUGGUAGCAGCCGUAGUGGGUUAGGAAGCAGCACUAACAGUAGUCUGGCUAAUUUUGGUUCCUUCAGUCUGAACCCAGCUAUGAUGGCUGCUGCUCAGGCUGCUCUGCAGAGUAGUUGGGGGAUGAUGGGUAUGCUGGCUAGCCAACAGCAGACAUCCACAUCAGGCAGUACCUCAAGUGGAACAAGCUCUAGUAGGGACCAGAGUCAGUCUUUCAGUACAGGCAACAGCAACUACGGCACCAGCUCAGCCAGUCUUGGCUGGGGAACAGGGUCAAACUCUACAACCAGUGGGAGUGGGUUUAGCUCAGGUUUUGGGUCCAGUAUGGAGUCAAAGUCAUCUGGGUGGGGUAUGUAAGUUAAAUGUUUGUAUGGUAAGUAUUGUGACAAAGAUGAGUCUUUUCAAGAAUUUAUUUCUGGUGUUGAUGCGUAUCUGAAAACUUAACACUUUUGUGGAAGAUGUUUUGUACAUUUGGAAAAAAUGCUAAAGAUUUAAUUUAGAAAGUGUUGAAGUGAGUUGUUUACCAGGAUGUCCGACUAAAGUGCUAUUUUUGACGUCUCAUUUGUUUGUAUCCAUUUCAACUGGAUUCUCUAAUGCAUGUAUUGUGAAAUGUGAUAACCAUUUUGAAAAUGCAUGAAUGUUUGUGGUUCACCAUUAUCUGGCUUUGUCAUCGAUUUAAAAGGCAAUCUUGCAUUGGGAAGAAUCUGGUUGAAACCUAAAUGUUUUAAGUGCAACUUUUAUUUGCAGUCAAGUUCUGUGGAAAAGCCUUCAUUGAAAUCUCUUCUGCAGUUCACCUCUCUUCCAUUUUCCUGUGAGGAAGUUCCUCUUUGGCAGCAUUCUUGGGGUGAUAUCGGUAUCAUUCUCCCUCUUCCCACCUGUAAAUGCUAUGCCAUCAAAGAACGGCUUCACUCCGCAUGUUCUAAGAGACGGGACCUUGGGCUCUGCUGGUCGAGGUCUCCGUUUGAACCCUGACUGAAGUCUGUUCUGAAGGACGAAGACGGAAGUUCCAACACUUUCAGUGUGUGGCCUUCUCAGACAUGACAUGGGGUAGUACCUGUCUUUUUGCUGCUUUUGAUGGCUUGUCAGAGUGAAUUAUUCCUUUUUAUUCUUCACAGCUACUUUUAGAGGGAAGUUCUUGGGGAAUCACUGUCUUUAUUUGAACUUUAACAUAUGAGCUCAGUAAUGUGGCAUCACCUCACAAGCAAUGUUAAAAAAAUAAAAAUAAAAAAUCUAAUUUGGCUAAAGUAGUAAGAACUAAUGGCACAUUGCUGAGCUGUGGAAUUAGUGAUGGGGAUUUUUACAUUGCCUUAUAUAUUCAGUGGCCACUUUAUUAGGUACGCCUGUACAGUCUUGCAGUUUAAUCCAACUGUUCUGCUACAAAUGGUAAUUUUAUUAAGUUUGUAAUAUGACUGCUUUGACAUUGAAAUUUGUGAAUUUAAUUAGGUUUAAUACUGAGUUCAUAGUCUUAGGUGAUGUUUUACUUUCGGGGCUACAGUAUAUUGAGGUUUUUCUGAUUUAUUCUGUUUCCGUCCCUAUUUAUGUACACAAAGAGGGGAAGAAUAUUAGAGAAACCUGAAUAAUGCACUCCAGUAUGUUAUAAAAGUAGACAUUAUGGCAGGUGUAUUGGAUUGCAUUAGAUUGCACGUGUACCUAAUAAAGUGGUCACUGGGUGUACAUUAUGGAUAGUUUGCCUGACAGUCUUAAGUCCAUUUGAGGUUUACCAAAAUAUUUAAUUAUUAAUAAUAAUCUUAAUAGAAGAUUUUUGUAGUCAGUGUCACUUUGACAGUGCUUUUUAAAAAAAAAAAUUACCUACAUUUGUAUUUGUUCAUACAUUUGUAUUGAAUGUCAAACCAGUGCCAAAUGCACUACAUUUUGACAUUGCAUCAGCAGAUCCCAGGACAGAUAACGGUCAGAAAUCUGCAGAAAGUGUAAAAUAAAACUACUGUAAUGUGACAUAAGAUCUUAUGCUGUAGGUUAGUUUAAAGUUGAAAUGCAUUUUUCCCAUGAAAGAAUGAUUAUGGCACCUUUAUGACACUGAACUCACUGUCAUGUAUUAGUCAGCCUUCAUGUUUAUUUGAAUGUUGGGUACAAGUGAGACACUGCAGGGCCUGCCUGUGUCUUGUCCUUAUUGUCUGCUUUCCUCCUCCUCAGUGUCUCUGCUCUUCCUCUUCCCAGUACUCUUCUUUUUCAAAUCCCUCUGCUCCUGGUUCAGUUCCUCGCUUUUAUUUUGUAUGUAGAUGGACUGAAAUAAAUAAAGGCAAAUUAAACAUUCAA